rnacentral:ribozyme from 11 species
GAAAUGAGACAGGAAGGAAGGAAGAGAGAGAAAAAUGGAAAUCGAAAUGAAUCAGGCGUCUGAGUUUCGUUUUCCUUCUUUUCCGUCUGCACGCUUUCUCUCUCUCUUGCCUUCUCCUCUCUUUUUCU